AAUCCAUAACAAAUGCAAUUUGACAACAGCGACUAUUCCAGGCACCAUAAAACAUACAGCCAACUGAAAAUAUAAAAACCACUCUUGGCUCAGGCUGUAGAAACACAGCAGAGAGGCCGAGUUUGGCCUGCAGCUUUAAUUUGCAAGGCUUGCUGCUCCAGUUGUGGCCGAAGGCCCAGCAGCGUUGACAGCACCUGAAAACUUGUCAGAAAUGCACACCUUCAGGCCCCGCCCCGCAGCCGCCGGAGGACACUUUAAGAACGUCACCUGUGUUCAUUUACACACCCGAGAUUGAAAAGCACUGGUGUGAGGUCUACGCAGGCUCCAAAGCCAGACUGGGGAACCCCAGUGCUGCAAGACAACUUCUCUGACAAGUGCCCCUGGGAAAGUUCUGAGCUUCUCUGUGCCUCAGUUUCCCCACAUGCAAGAGGAGGAUGAUGGCACUGUCUCCCUCAGCACGGCUGUGAGAAUUACACUCACACACAGAACUCAGCGUUUGUCGUUACUGUUACAAAAUCGUGUGCUAUUUUCCCAGCGACUGCUCUGAGACAGGCAUUGCGGAGAAACUGUGGCCCCGAGAGUUGGAGACACUUGUUUAGCUUUUUGGCUGUAAGGCAUUUAUAAUCUCCAGCCAAGGAUGGAACCCACAGCUCCUGCAUUGGAAGAUGAAGUCUUAACCACUGGACCACCAGGGAAGUCCCAACACAUGUCCCAUCUAAGGAUUCCCUCUCAGUAGCCCUUCGCAGCCCUUGUUCCUUACAUAUUCCCUCCAGCCACAGUGUGCAGCUCCAACUCCACACACAGGGACCUUCCCCCAAAUCUUUCCCCAAGUUCCCCUUUCACUCCUUGAAAUUUAUCCUCCAUUAAGUUGCACAGUGUUUUUUUACAACUUCUCUUUCUAGUUGUGGGUUGUAAAUUUUCCCUCU
ensembl:lncRNA